rnacentral:rRNA from 1 species
UACGGGGGGGGGCAAGCGUUGUUCGGAAUUACUGGGCGUAAAGGGCUCGUAGGCGGCCAACUAAGUCGGACGUGAAAUCCCCCAGGCUCAACCUGGGAACUGCAUCCGAUACUGGAUGGCUUGAAUUCGGGAGAGGGAUGCAGAAUUCCAGGUGUAGCGGUGAAAUGCGUAGAUAUCUGGAGGAAUACCUGUGGCGAAAAGCGGCGCACUGGACCAUAACUGACGCUGAUGCGCGAAAAGCUAGGGGAGCAAACAGG